UUCCAGCUCCAAUAGCGUAUAUUAAAGUUGUUGCGGUUAAAAAGCUCGUAGUUGAAUUUGUGUCCCGCACUGUCGGUUCACCGCCCGCGGUGCUAACUGGCAUGUUUGCGGGACGUCCUGCCGGUGGAUGUUCAGUAGUGAUUGACUUUCGGGUCUUUUACUAUUUCAUCCGACUUAUGAAUCCUGUCGCGGUGCUCUUAAUUGAGUGUCGAGGCGGGCCGGCACGUUUACUUUGAACAAAUUAGAGUGCUCAAAGCAGGCUAAUUAAUGCCUGAAUAAUUAGUGCAUGGAAUAAUGAAACAGGACCUUGGUUCUAUUUUGUUGGUUUUCGGAAUCCCAAGGUAAUGAUUAAUAGGGACAGAUGG
rnacentral:rRNA from 3 species